AAACCAGCACCUCAAGUGGUCAGGAUGAUUAUUGGGCCUAAAGCAUCCGUAGCCGGCUCUGUAAGUUUUCGGUUAAAUCUGUAUGCUCAACAUACAGGCUGCCGGGAAUACUGCAGGGCUAGGGAGUGGGACAAGUAGACGGUACUCGGGAGGAAGUGGUAAAAUGCUUUGAUCUCUCGAUGACCACCUGUGGCGAAGGCGGUCUACCAGAACAUGUCCGACGGUGAGGGAUGAAAGCUGGGGGAGCAAACCGGAUUAGAAACCCCAGUAGUCC
rnacentral:rRNA from 1 species